UACGUAGGGUCCGAGCGUUGUCCGGAAUUACUGGGCGUAAAGAGCUCGUAGGUGGUUUGUCGCGUUGUUCGUGAAAACUCACAGCUUAACUGUGGGCGUGCGGGCGAUACGGGCAGACUUGAGUACUGCAGGGGAGACUGGAAUUCCUGGUGUAGCGGUGGAAUGCGCAGAUAUCAGGAGGAACACCCGGUGGCGAAGGCGGGUCUCUGGGCGUACUGACGCUGAGGAGCGAAAGCUGGGGAGCGAACAGG
rnacentral:rRNA from 1 species